AACGAACGCUGGCGGCAUGCCUAACACAUGCAAGUCGAACGAGACCUUCGGGUCUAGUGGCGCACGGGUGCGUAACGCGUGGGAACUUGCCCUUAGGUUCGGAAUAACUCCCCGAAAGGGGUCCUAAUACCGGAUAAUGUCUUCGGACCAAAGAUUUAUCGCCUUUGGAUGGGCCCGCGUUGGAUUAGCUAGUUGGUAGGGUAAAAGCCUACCAAGGCGACGAUCCAUAGCUGGUCGGAGAGGAUGAUCAGCCACACUGGGACUGAGACACGGCCCAGACUCCGACGGAAGGCAGCAGUGGGGAAUAUUGGACAAUGGGCGAAAGCCUGAUACAGCAAUGCCGCGUGAGUGAUGAAGGCCUUAGGGUUGUAAAGCUCUUUUACCCGGGAUGAUAAUGACAGUACCGGGAGAAUAAGCUCCGGCUAACUCCGUG
rnacentral:rRNA from 1 species